rnacentral:tRNA from 1 species
AGGCUUGUAGCUCAAUGGUAGAGCUUCCGACUCUUAAUCGAAAGACGAUGGUUCGAUUCCAUCCAGGCCUA